CCUANGGGUGGCAGCAAUUAGGAAUCUUGCGCAAUGGGCGAAAGCCUGACGCAGCGACGCCGCGUGACCGAUGAAGUCCUUCGGGAUGUAAAGGUCUUUUGCAGGGGAAGAAGGAUGUGACGGUACCCUGCGAAUAAGCUCCGGCUAACUACGUGCCAGCAGCCGCGGUAAUACGUAGGGAGCGAGCGUUGUCCGAAUUUACUGGGCGUAAAGCGCGCGUAGGCGGGCUUUUAAGUUGGGGGUGAAAUGCCGAGGCUCAACCUCGGAACUGCCUCCAAAACUGGGAGCCUUGAGGUAUGGAGAGGGAAGUGGAAUUCCUGGUGUAGCGGUGAAAUGCGUAGAUAUCAGGAGGAACACCCGUGGCGAAGGCGGCUUCCUGGCCAUACUCUGACGCUGAGGUGCGAAAGCUAGGGGAGCGAACGGGAUUAGAUACCCCUNUANUC
rnacentral:rRNA from 1 species